UUGACAGCCUAGCGACCAAAGCCCUCUUUGUAGCUGUAGAACAGGUAAGACAAUGGAAGCAGACUUCCCCACAUUGCUCUGCCCAUGUAUCUCAACCUGAUGUGGAGGGAUCACCUUCAGGAGUCAGAGAGAAGUUUAUUCUCGUACCCACACAGUCUCUGGGACCU
rnacentral:sRNA from 1 species